rnacentral:lncRNA from 1 species
GUAAGUCAGCACCCCGUGCCUGCCUCUCUUCCCUCACAUCCCAGCCCUCCCCACCUCAUUUGGGAGCUAGCUUUCUCCACGAUGCUCUGCUGCACUUACAACCACUCCCCUGCCAGCUUAUAAAUAGUUUAAUUUCUCAGCAGCCUCCUGGACAGACUGCCGAGCAAUUACAAAUGCGUGGGACAAGUCUCAGACCUCAGGAAGGCUUUAACUAUGCCCAGCUGCAACUGUGCAAAACCACAGGUCAGAGAGCCUCGGAGCCACAGCGGAUGGGGAGCCACGAGGCCAUGGCCUCAGGUGUCAGCUGGGUUGCAACAACCUCAUAGUCAGCUUAGCAGGUAAGCUCGCUGCCCUGUCCAGCAAUCUCUGCCAAAAAACAGCUCUCAUACCCAGGAGGGGGAUGGAUGCAACAGCCUGGCACUGGCCAGGGUCCUCUGUGUCUUUAAGUAAAGCCAUGUAAUUUUCCGAUGCAUUUCGUCUUGUGCAUCCUAUUAUGAUUGUCAAGUAUCAGAUAAAGAGGCAGGAGUUUAGGACAUGCAUUUUCAGGCUUUGGCUUAUUUCUUUAUUUAUUUACAGCACAAUAAAAUAAGAAGAAAUAUUCAAAGUGAAGAGACUGUGAAAAGUGAUUUGUUCCAACUCUUCACUGCAGACUUGCAAGAAACCAAUCAGAGGGGCUCAGGAGUGGUUUGACCGUAAUUUAUUAACCCAAAAGGGGCCGCAUUGUUAACCAACAUUAUUUAUAGUGAACAGCUCAGCCAUCUCUACUGAACAACUGUGUGAUACUGCAGGGACAAAUGCAAUGAGUUACUACACAGAUAGGACAAAACCAGCAGCAGAUCUUUGUUACAGCUGUUAGAAAAAGUGUCCCCAGGAGACAGACACUGAAUCUCUAAUGGCUAUCUUAUUUCUCUGACAAUUUAUUUAAGUUUUAACUUAACAGCAGGAAUGAUAGCCACAGUUACACAGUGACUCCCAAUAAAAGAGCGUGUUGCUGAUCUGCAGCUGGUGUUUUCUUAUUUAUUUGAAAGUCUUUAAGUUCCAGACUUAGCAUAUGGUGCCAUAUAAAUAAUGAUAUAAUAAUAUGGUUUUGCUUUCCAUGUGCCGGGAUAGAAAAAAGCUGUGUGAUUUAUGUUACAUGAGCAUUGUAUUUAAG